rnacentral:rRNA from 1 species
UGCUUAACACAUGCAAGUCGAACGCAAGCUUUGCGUUGAGUGGCGGAUGGGUGAGUAACGCGUGAUAAUCUGCCUUGGGGUCGGGGAGCAACCACUGGAAAUUGGUGGCUAAUACCGUAUAACCCUAUGGGUAACAGAUUUAUUGCCCCAAGAUGAGCUCGCGUAUUGAUUAUCUAGUUGGUGAGGUAAAAGCUCACCAAGGCAGUGAUCAGUAGCUGGUCUGAGAGGACGAUCAGCCACACUGGGACUGAUACACGGCCCAGACUCCUAGCGGGAGGCAACCGUGAGGGAAUUUUCCGCAAUGGGCGAAAGCCUGACGGAGCAUGACCGCUGUGAUGGAGGAAGGCUCUUGGGUUGUAAACCUCUUGUCUCACGGAAGAAGCUCUGAUGGUACCUGAGGAAUCAGCCUCGACUAAAUCAGUGCCAGCAGCCGAGGUAAUACGGAGGAGGCAAGCGUUAUCCGGAAUUAUUGGGCGUAAAGCGUUCGCAGGUGGCGAUUCAGGUCUGCUGUCAAAGCACGGGGCUUAACUCCGUUCAGGCAGUGGAAACUGAAUAGCUAGAGUGCCGUAAGGGUAGAGGGAAUUCCCGGUGUAGCGGUGAAAUGCGUAGAGAUCGUGAAGACCAUCGGUGGCGAAAGCGCUCUACUGGACUGCUACUGACACUCAGGGACGAAAGCUACGGGAGCGAAUGGGAUUAGAUACCCCAGUAGUCCUAGCUGCAAACGAUGGAUACUAGGUGUAGCUUGUAU